rnacentral:rRNA from 1 species
UACGUAGGGUCCAAGCGUUAUCCGGAAUCACUGGGCGUAAAGGGUGCGUAGGCGGUUUGAUAAGUCUGAUGUGAAAUCUAUGGGCUCAACCCAUAGCCUGCAUUAGAAACUGUCGGGCUUGAGUAUGGGAGAGGUGAGUGGAAUUUCCGGUGUAGCGGUGAAAUGCGUAGAUAUCGGAAGGAACACCUGUGGCGAAAGCGGCUCACUGGACCAUUACGUGACGCUGAUGCACGAAAGCUAGGGGAGCAAACAGG